rnacentral:rRNA from 1 species
GGUCCCACCUGAUCCCUUUCCGAACUCAGAAGUGAAACGCAGUUGCGCCGAUGGUAGUGUGGGAGUUCCCAUGUGAGAGUAGGACAUUGCUAAAC